AUCCAACUGAUGAGUCUCAAAUAAGACGAAAUGCGAGUUCUGGAU
rfam:Schistosoma haematobium scaffold272_36, whole genome shotgun sequence.